rnacentral:tRNA from 1 species
GCCUCCUUAGCUCUGGGGCAGGGCACUGGUCUUGUAAACCAGGGGUCGUGAGUUCGAUUCUCACAGGGGGCA